CACUACAGCGCCAGAGUGUUUGCCAGUUAUGGUUAGCAAGCCUGAGCCAACCUGCCUGUCUGAAUCUCUGACUCCCUGAUAACCUGAACCUGAACCUAACCUGUUUUUGUCUUCUCUGCUUCCCAGGAAGAACCUGUCUGAACCCUGAAACUCUAGAAGAGUUUCUCAGUCUGAAACCAGCCUUUCUGAUCUCUGAAGAACUCUGGAAGUCAAAUCUGUCAGAUACCUGCCUGCCCGCUCUCAGAAGAAACUGAAAGAGAAACACAGAUCCGAAUCUGCAAGAUCACAAACCAAGCUCUGCCUCUGCCUUGCCCUCUGCCUGCCGACAGCCUCUGGACCCUCCUGGUUCCCCCCCUCUGCCGCUCUGCUCAAACCUCAGAACAGAGAAACCAGUCGUGACCAGUCCUGGACCUGAUAACCCCCAGAAUCAGUGCUUUAUUCUCAUUGUGUCAAACAAUAAACUGUUGAACUUUU